GGGGAAAAGAGAAAUCUUUACCUGCAAGAGGGGGGCUCAGUUCCAAGACUUUAAUGCUGAGACUUCUGAAUCAGCUAUGGAAAUGAAUGUGUACCCGUGAAAGGAACAUGGAACAUUAGAGAAAGAUAAUAGUGAAACAGUUGAAAACCUGGCACUGUCUGUUGGGUGCUGCUACAAGGAGGCCCUUUCCUCAUGCACCCAGUGUGGGCAGAGUGAUCUAGGAGAAGACCUGCCUCUGCCUACUGUGCACUGCCACUGGAGGGCCCUUUCUUCUGGAAGCCCAGCACAGGCAGAGAGAAUGAGGAGAAGACCCACCUCUGCUUGCCAGGCAGUGCCACUGGAAGGCCCUUUCCUCUGUAUCCCCAGCACAGGCAGAGAUAUCCAGGAGAAGACCCAAACCUGCCUGCUGGGUGUUGCCACUGAAAGGCCCUUUCCUCCACAUGCCCAGUGGUGGCUGAAGGACACAGACAGAUCCAGAUCUGCCUGCUGUGUACUGCCACCAAAAGGCCACAUUCUACAGGUGGCCAGUGGGCAGAGAGAACCAGCAGAUCCAUCUUCACCUUCAGGGAGCUGCCACCAGAAGGCUUCUUCCUGCAGGCAGCCAGCAGGAGCAGUGACAUACAGAAAGGUAAGCUUUGUGCAUCCAUAGGCCACCAUUUGAGCCCUGUGGUUUUCUCAGAGAGCCGUCAUCCACUAGCAGAAUCAGAUAAACACACAUGUGUGUCUACCAUCGUGAGUAACCCUGUGUAGACACUCAGGGUGAGAGAAGUAGCCCCACUUACAUGCACCACUGAUCAUCAGCAAAGCCCUAGUAUACUAAAAGCUCUGGAGAAUCCCACUAUACAACCUACUAACUUCCUGCAAAUCUGGAAUUAAAGGAACCCAGGUGCCGUCCCCAUCCACCUACACUACAUGGGGCAGCUAAUGUGCGAAGUUCCUGGAAUCCCACAACCGGGAGGGUCAGAAUGAGAGGCACAGUGUAGUUCCUUCUUUGAUCACAACACUGAUAUGAAGCAAAACCUAUCAACUGUAGAGUAAACCCUCAGUAGUAUACUGCUCCUUCCUUAUAGGUUGAAAAAUUUUCUCUUCCAAUUUAUUAUUUUACCACAGUAAGGUUAUCACUGGAAUCAUUACAUUUAGCCUUAUUGUCAAAUGCACUGGCUUGACAGAUGCCUAGGAAAGUAGUGUAGGAUGUCUGAGUGUAGGAUGUCUGACUGAGGCAGAGAGGCAUGAACUUACAAGUUACCUCCAGUCUCCAGUCCCUUCAUUUCAGUUGCAUUUCAUCCUGAAGAAUCCCCAUUGGAAUUUUGAAGACUGGCUAUGGGAAUCCACAAGUAACUGAAGACCAAUAACCAAAGGCCAUGACAAAAACCACUGCUUCUCUACCAGGAAAACAUAUCUCUCCACUGAUUUUUAUUCUAUCUAGAAUACAAGUUUAUUGGAUGAUGCUAACCACAAACAGCAUGAAUCUUCUCUCCUUAGGUUGUGGCCUAUAUUCCACAAAUAUCAAGAGCUUUGCUAAUCUGUUAAGUGGUUCCUACUCUAGUCAAGUGGACAUAGGACAAUUAAUAAUCCCAAAUCACUAAUGAUUAUAUUUCUAGGCUCGCCCUACAAAGAUUGUCUUCAGUCAUCCAAAUUACAUUUUACCAGAAAAAUGGUAUGGAAAAGCCAAUCAUUUCCCAGUAGAAGCUCCAUGGCCGUCCUUAGACUUGAGAAAAAACAACCCCCCCAAAUCAUCUGCUCAUAAAUCAUCUGCUUUCCAAAACUCUCCACCUUUUCAUGUCCAACAGUCAUUUAAACUAUGUGUGAAUUAAAGUCUAAUCAUAAUUUUACCUUAUAUAAAAUGAGGGUGGUAAAAGCUCAUCUUCCUAUGACACAAUUUGUAAAAAAGAUGACCCAAUGUGAAUUGCCCAUGUCUUCCUUUGCAUUUGUGAUUCCUUCAACAUUCCACUUGAGAGUUGAUGCAAAAUUCCUGGUGCCUGAGUAUUUUCAUUUUGUCUUUAAGAAAUACAUGCUUUGCUUCCACAUAUCUACUGACUCAUCCAGUCAUUGCUAUAAUAUAUCAUGAAUAUCUUAUGUGUUCUUCUAUUUUUCAAAAAGUGAAACUGCCCUAGUGUUGAAUCUUCUUGAAGCUGAACCACAUCAUUAAAUUUAAAUCAUCUGAUUGAAGUGUGUUAUUACAGGAACUGCAAUGACAUUUUAAGUGUUUAUAGGCACAUAUUUAUUACAUGUAUUAUCAGUGCUCUAUGAAACCACAAGAAAUACAACACACAUAGAGUACUACAUUAUUUGUUCAUCGUCUAAGAUUUGAUCUUUGUAUCUUUUGAGCAGGAGGGUUGAGAUAGGGUCUUGCUAUGAAGUGAAGGUUGACCUUGAACUCACUUAUGUAAUCUAGGCUGACCUUGAACUCACAACAACACUCCUGGCUCUGCUCCCAAGUGCUGGAAUUAAAGAAUGCAACACUGCACCUGGUUUUCCAUGUACUUUUUAUUUGUGCUAUUAAUCUUUUUGGUACCAGGAAUCAAACACACAAGCUCACAUUUUCCAGGUAAGUACAUUACUGCUGUGCUAUGUCCUUGGAAGUUUGCAUACUUUAACGUUCCUGACAUCUCUGAAUUUAAAAAGGAAUGAGAAAAUGGCAAAAAGAAGAAGCAAAAGGAUAGCUGUUAUGCAGAACCAGAGGAGAGAAUAUAAGGAUAAUGAGAAAGAAGAGUGACAGAGAGGAAGUGCUCCUAUGAAGUAUAGAUUUGACAUCAAAUAUCUGAGGUAAGACAUGUUGGGUGAGGCCUUUUUCAUGAUGUCCUUCUGGUCCUUGCUUUUGAGGAUGAAUGUAAUGAGAUAUACUGGGCCCUUUAAAGAGAUUAUGAUAUUUCAAAACAUUGAAUGGAAGUAAACAACAUAGAAAGAGCCAGAGUGCUUGGUGAGCACAGUGAGGUACACUAUAUGCAUAAAGAAGGCCACCUGCUCUCCCUCAGUAGAGAGGAUCUUUAACAGAGACCACAGUGAUGACACUAGAAAACAAAUGAACACUAAAUAGCAAUAACAUCUCACACAGUAUUGAUCUCUCUUCAGUUUUACUUCAUGUGGAAGAGAAAUUCUUGGGCUAUAAUACAUUCAUACAAUACAAGGUGGCAUUAUUAUUUUUAACAUACUUAAUAAUAUUCAGACACUACAUAAGAUCAUUUCAAAUGUUUAUAAUGUCCAAGAGAUAUUAUUUUAUAAAACAAACAAGCAACUAUUAAAAAUCAUUUUGUUAGGACAUAUAGGUCAUAUAAAACUUUCCUGCAAUUUCAAAUUUAAAUAUAAUAUUGUUUAUAGUAAAGAGAAGUCACAUACUGUAGGGGAGGAGAAGGUUUACAAAUCUCAUGUGUUUUCCUUUUUAAGAGCACAUGGAAAGAUGCAAGUAUGGUCACAUGAAUUAGAUGUGACAUUGCAAAUGGAUGGCAUUCUGUAGAGAGGCCACACUGACUCCAUUUUGCCCCAGACACAUCCAGCUGACAAUGUUUUGAGAAAAAGCACAGGCCUUGAAACACUGCCCCAUUUAAAGUUAAAAACAUGAGGUCCUAUAAAGAGAAGAAGCAAACAAGUUAUACAACCUAAGUACAUGCAACUUGAGUUUCUUCAUUCUCUAUCUCAAUAAAAGCUGCUUACUUAUACAGACUGGGUGGAAGAUAUUAGCUAAACACAAUUUUAGAAAUAUGUAAAAUUUCAAAACAAUAUUAGGAAUGGGAUGCUGGAAAAUUAAAAGUUGGCAAGAAAUUUAUAUGAUAAUUUUAAAAUCCCAGUAUAAAUUUGUCUCCCAGUGCAUUUACAAGUGAUUGCUUGAAACUUUUAAGCUAUUGGUGAAGCUAUGCUGUGCCUGGUGACCCAUUCAGGAACACUUCUGUUUCUCUGUGUCAGGUAGAAGCUUUCUUUCCUCAAUAAAUAUAAUCUGUUGUUAACCCCCAAUGUUCCUAAAAUUCAUUCUUUGAUUUAGAGAACACAAAUUAACACCAGACAUCUAGAAGUUUUAGGAUUUCUUUUAGCUGUAUCAUUAGAAGGCUUUCCACAGAGGUCAUUGGAUGAUGAUAUGUGGGAAUCAAAGUCAAAAUCUUGUACUCAUUUAUAAUGCAUUCUCAAGCACUGAAAGAUGCUUGACACUUACAUGCCUGAAAAUGUGCAAUUUGAUGUUUUUCUGCACAUGCACAUGCCCUGCCUACCAUCUAGAGACAGAAUGGAAUGCACAGGGAAGUGUUAAUUAUGAUGUUCUUUUCAACUAAAAUUACACUGUUAAAGGGAUGAAAAAUGUUCAGAAGCACCAUAUGUUCAAACUUUUUACAUGAUGAAAAAACUCAUAUUUGUGCUCUAAGGAUAAUUACAAUUCAUGGGAAACUACUCCUGUUCAUAUGACUUUUUCUCUCAAUGACUUAAAGCAGAUCAAGAUAGGGGCUGGGGAUUUAGCUCAGCGGCAUAAGCACCUGCCUUGCAAGCAGGCGGUUGUGAGUUCGAUCCCUGGUACCGAUAAAAAUGAAAAAGACAAAAAAAAAAAAAAAAAAAAAAAAAAAGCAGAUCAAGAUAGAAGUAGAAAAAUUGGCAAAUGACCCUGAUAAAUACAUUGAUGUCUUUACAGGAUUUACCCAGACCUAUAAGGUAGAUUGGAAAGGUAUAAAGUUAAUCUUAAAUCAAUCACUGACUUCUAAUGAGAGACUAAAAACAUUACAAGCUGCAAUUACAUUUGGUAAUAAACACCAUAGUGUUAUUUUUAAACAUCCAGAAGACAGGCAUCCAGGGGAACAACCAGUUUUCCCUGGAGUUUGAGCAGUCCUUACUCAAGACCCCUGCAGGACAAACAGCCACAAAACAGAUUGGAGCCGAAAAUGUUUUCAAGUAUGUAUUCUUGAAAGACUAGGAAGGACAAAAACCAAGCCUUCUAGUUAUUUUACCUUGACAUCUAUUUAUCAGGAGAAAGAUGAAAACACCUCUGCCUUCUUGUAUCCCUUACAAAAGGCACUGGUAAACAUGUGUUCAUGCUCUGAAUUCAAUAAAAUGGGUUUUGUUUAAAGGCAUGGUUAUUGUCCAGACAGUACAGGCAUUACAAAAGUUACAGGGCUGAGGCUUAGCUCAGUGGCAUAAGUGCCUGUUUGGCAAAGAUGAGGUCAUGAGUUCGACCCCCAGUAGCCCCAAAAAGUUACAAAAGAUAGACAUUGCUAUAAUUAGUUCACUUGAUAAUUUAAGGAAACACUGCCUCCUUAGUAUUUUAUAAUCAAGACUGGGAAAAAGGCAAGGAAAGAAAACAAAGAUACUGAAAAGUUGCCUGCCUUUGUUGAGCCCUUAAGAAUAACAAAAUCUAAACCCAAUUCUUAGCGUUCCAAGAAGAGCUCAAUAGGUAGACUCAACUGGUAAUUCUGAGGAAAGCCAGGCCAUCUUUAGAGGGAUGGUCUUAAGAGCAUCCCUAUCUUAUUACCUGAAUGAAAAUGCAUCCACUGAAAUUGAUAUUGAACUCUGAGAUGGAGGCCCCAGAGCUCAGACUCAUCUUCCCAGAAGGUCUAACAAGACUAACAGACACAAGGCACUCUGCCUCUUCUUUCUGGCUGAGCUGUCAUAUUUACUUGUCUUCUCCUGGAGGAGCCCUAGAUAAUGAUGACCUGAGAGAGAAAAAAGACCCAGCGUAUUUCUGGACUUUGGCACUGGUCUCUUUGUCUUUCUGCAGCUCUGGCCAUCUUCCCAGACAUCUUAUCUGAAUAAAAAGAGUCACCAGAAGAUGAAUAACUCAUUUAAGCUGUAAAUGGGAUGGCUUUCUUAUUAUAUGUUUCUUUUUUAAUUUGCCUAAAACUCUAAAUUCCAUCCUAGGGAGAUAUUAUACCCAGUUUAAGUAUGGCAAUAUAUAUACACAGGUUGCCAACUAAUCAAAUGUUUUAUGGCUUACCAGAUCUAAUUCAUUUCUUCUUCUUCAUGGGUUCCUCCCAGCCUUAGCACAUCUUCUGAUGAUUCACAGAAGGCCCUUACUACAAACGCAAUAGAUAUUGUCGUUCAUGAAAAAUAAAUUACAGUUUUUCAUUGGCUAAAAUAAUGCAACAAUUGUUAUAAUCUGGUUCUCACAAGUCAUUAAAAUUUUCAAAAUAAUAUAACUAAAGCUAUAGGGACAUUGACAAAAUAAUAGAUUCCAUCAGGAAAGGGUUCUAAGAAUCAGUGGUUUUGAAUUGCUACUCUAUUCCCUUAAAAACAAGUAUGAGACUUACCUGUCACCUCUUUUUGUCACAGUUUCAUUACACAAGCUCUAAUUUCCCUAAAUGUUUAUUUAUUUUUGCCUACAUGGUGCAAAACCCCAAGGAAUCAUAUAAAUAAAACCAAUGGCAAUGUGCUAGAUUACAUUUACCAGAAUCUGAAAAGUAAAAACUGUACAAGGAAAAUUAUUUUUGAACACCUGUGUUAGGGCUGGAAAUUUAGCUCCGUGGCAUAAGUACACCCUACAAGCAUAUUUGUGAGUUUGAUCCCUGAAAUAAAACAAAAACAAAGAAUGAAAUAAAAAUAAAACCUGUGUUUUGUCUGAAACUACCUAGCUCUGUAAAUACUUCAUGCUCUGUAAUUAUAUUCUUAAACACUGUAAUGAAGAAGAAUAAUCAAACAUGCAGUAGGUCACUUUGUAACUGAUUAUCAUUAACCUAGUCUUGUAUCUGAUGAUCUCUCUCUGCUAGCUAAUCAGAAGAAUUUCCACACUGUUUUGAUUCACCUUUGUACCUCCUACUUAUGCAUCAUAUAAAAGCUCUAGACCAUCAGAGAUAGAGGCCUGAUAUUUUGGGAAUGAUCUCAAUCAGUGCCCAUCAAUAUUAAAGAAAUCUGCCUCCAAAUCCUGGGUGUAGUUUUGAAGGACAAUUGAAAUUUCAAGUAAAGCCCACUAAGAAUACAUGCCAAAUCCCAGUGGGUGUGUUUGGGGCAACCCUGGUAAGAGAACAAUCCUUUCUUUAGCUCCUGUUUUUAUAGCCUUUGUGUGAUCUCUGGCCUUGUAAUGCUACUUGAGGUGACCUUACUGCCUUUUUAUAACUGAUAGUCUUAUAAUGUAACAACUUGAGCUUUCCAAACUCUUUCAGUAAUCCAAGAUGUAUACCCAACUCUCCAAUCACGUGUACUAAAU